rnacentral:rRNA from 1 species
CAAGAUUGAAAGCUGGCGUCUUCGGCGUCCGCAUUGUAAUCUCAAGAAGUGUUUUCCGCUUCGGACCAAGCCUAAGUCCCCUGGAAAGGGGCAUCAUAGAGGGUGAUAAUCCCGUACAUGGCUUGGAGCGCCCGAGGCUUUGUGAUACGCUUUCUAAGAGUCGAGUUGUUUGGGAAUGCAGCUCAAAAUGGGUGGUAAAUGCCAUCUAAGGCUAAAUAUUGGGGAGAGACCGAUAGCGAACAAGUACAGUGAUGGAAAGAUGAAAAGAACUUUGAAAAGAGAGUUAAACAGUACGUGAAAUUGCCAAAAGGGAAGGGUAGGAGGUCAGAGAUGCGGCCUGGGAUUCAGCCUUGCUUUUGCUUGGUGUUUUUCCCAGAUUGCAGGCCAACGUCGGUUUUGGGCACUGGAGAAGGGUAGGAGGAACGUGGCACCCCUCGGGGUGUGUUAUAGCCUCCUACUGGAUACAGCGACCGAGACCGAGGACAGCAGCGUACUCGCAAGAGCGGGCCUUCGGGCACCUUUACGCUUAGGGCGUUGGCAUAAUGGCCCUCUACCACCCGUCUGAA